rnacentral:rRNA from 1 species
GAUGAACGCUGGCGGCGUGCCUAAUACAUGCAAGUCGAGCGAACGGACGAGAAGCUUGCUUCUCUGAUGUUAGCGGCGGACGGGUGAGUAACACGUGGAUAACCUACCUAUAAGACUGGGAUAACUUCUGGAAACCGUAGCUAAUACCGGAUAAUAUUUUGAACCGCAUGGUUCAAAAGUGAAAGACGGUCUUGCUGUCACUUAUAGAUGGAUCCGCGCUGCAUUAGCUAGUUGGUAAGGUAACGGCUUACCAAGGCAACGAUGCAUAGCCGACCUGAGAGGGUGAGCGGCCACACUGGAACUGAGACACGGUCCAGACUCCUACGGGAGGCAGCAGUAGGGAAUCUUCCGCAAUGGGCGAAAGCCUGACGGAGCAACGCCGCGUGAGUGAUGAAGGUCUUCGGAUCGUAAAACUCUGUUAUUAGGGAAGAACAUAUGUGUAAGUAACUGUGCACAUCUUGACGGUACCUAAUCAGAAAGCCACGGCUAACUACGUG